CCUACGAGAGGCAGCAGUGAGGAAUAUUGGUCAAUGGUCGGGAGACUGAACCAGCCAAGCCGCGUGAGGGAUGAAGGUACAGAGUAUCGUAAACCUCUUUUGUCAGGGAACAAAGGCGGGGACGCGUCCCCGGAUGAGUGUACCUGAAGAAAAAGCAUCGGCUAACUCCGUGCCAGCAGCCGCGGUAAUACGGAGGAUGCGAGCGUUAUCCGGAUUUAGUGGGUUUAAGGGGUGCGCGGGCGGUCUGUUAAGUCAGCGGUCAAAGCCCGGGGCUCAACCCCGGCCCGCCGUUGAAACUGGCAGUCUCGAGUUGGAGAGAAGUAUGGGGAAUGCGCGGUGUAGCGGUGAAAUGCAUAGAUAUCACGCAGAACUCCGAUUGCGAAGGCAGCAUACCGGCGCCCGACUGACGCGGAGGCACGAAAGCGUGGGGAUCGAACAGGAGUAGAUACCCUAGUAGUC
rnacentral:rRNA from 1 species